rnacentral:rRNA from 1 species
GACGAACGCUGGCGGCGUGCUUAACACAUGCAAGUCGAACGGAAAGGCCCUGCUUUUGUGGGGUGCUCGAGUGGCGAACGGGUGAGUAACACGUGAGUAACCUGCCCUUGACUUUGGGAUAACUUCAGGAAACUGGGGCUAAUACCGGAUAGGAGCUCCUGCUGCAUGGUGGGGGUUGGAAAGUUUCGGCGGUUGGGGAUGGACUCGCGGCUUAUCAGCUUGUUGGUGGGGUAGUGGCUUACCAGGGCUUUGACGGGUAGCCGGCCUGAGAGGGUGACCGGCCACAUUGGGACUGAGAUACGGCCCAGACUCCUACGGGAGGCAGCAGUGGGGAAUAUUGCACAAUAGGCGGAAGCCUGAUGCAGCAACGCCGCGUGCGGGAUGACGGCCUUCGGGUUGUAAACCGCUUUCGCCUGUGACGAAGCGUGAGUGACGGUAAUGGGUAAAGAAGCACCGGCUAACUACGUG